AUUAAUAAAGAGUCCCUCUUGCCCUCUGUCCCAGGUACCCCCGUAUUAAUAAAGAGUCCCUCCUGCCCUCUGUCCCAGGUACCCCCGUAUUAAUAAAGAGUCCCUCUUGCCCUCUGUCCCAGGUACCCCCGUA